GGGACACAGGCACCGCGGCUGGGCAGGGCUCCCCCAGGAGCCUGGUGAGGAGGGGUCGGGGCCGCGGGGAAGGGCGCCUGUGGGGCUGGGAAGGGGGCGCCUCAGGGUUCUGGGGCAGUUAACGGGGCGGGGGGCGAGGAGGAGCUCGGCGGCGGCCCCGGGAGCGGGGAAAGGGACUGUGGCCGUUAAACGGCCGGGGCCGUUCCCCCCUGCCCCGUUAAGCCGCGGUGGUGCCGGCGGCUCCGGCGUUUCUGUGGCGAUGGGCGGGAAGGGGGGUCACCCCGCCGGGGAAAAGCGCCCGGAGUGCCUGCGUGACGACUCGUUACGUCGGGCUGGCGCCUGCGAUUUAAACCGGAGCUACCGGCCGCGGUAUGGGGUUGUCAAGGGUGCGUCGCACGUUUCCGUGGGGCAGCAGCCCCUUCUGAGCGCCUCCUGCCCCGCCGGUGCCCCCCGUGCCCACCGAGGGGCAACACUCACCCACGGGAAAGACCUUCCCACCAGUUUUGCUUGCGGCAUGUCGUUUCCAGCCUUAGGAAUAGCUCCACAUUGUGCCGUGUUUGCCUUAGCGGUCUGUAAAACCCCCGUGGUGCAAAAAGCUAUUAAUAGGAUCGGGUAUGAUCUAAGGGUGCUGCUUUUGUAACUUCAGUGCAUUAAUUUGGAGUUGGAGGUGACAAUGUGGAAUCUCGUGAUGACCUCUGCAGAAAUGUGUUUUCCACUAACAAACAUUUCUGAAGAAAAUCCAGAAGUUUCUCAGUUGGGGAGGAAGGGUAGCUUUGCUCUACAGAGAUUCACUAUUACAAGCAGUUAUCACUGGAGUUUGUGCUUGUUACUGUGAAACUAUGUUGCAUUGGAUAAUGUUAGGAUAACUAGGAUUAAUAAUAGAAAAGAGAACUUCCAUCAUCUCGUAAGAAAAUGUUCCAUACGAUACGUGUACUGUCUUUUUGUAGGUCUGAUCCUUGUCUGAUAAUUUAAGGAAGAUUCUACCAUUAAAGUACCAUGAAAGGUACAAGCUGUAGGUAUGGCUGCCUUGGCAGGCGAAAGAAGGGUGCGCAAAGGGACCCCGUUUAUCUCUGAUGUCUUCUGUGUUAUAUUUUUUUAUUAUUCUGUGUGGUUUAGCAACAUUAAUGAAUUUGUAUACAAGAGUAAAAAAUGUCCCUAAUAACUAAAACACUUACUGAGUAUGAAACUAUUUAAGAAGAUCCGGUGCUGCCUGAUAAAGACAGUCUUAUUUAAUUUGAUUAUCGAGGUUUGUGCAUUUUUUUCUUGUUUACUGCUUCACUGGUAUGAAUAAAAAUUAAAUAUGAUUAUGGGACAGUGUUUUACAAUAGCUGUGACAUAAAAAUGCAUUAUUUGUGUGUUACUUGGUAUUUCUGUGUAGUGUCUUUGUGUCCCAACAUUUGCAAAAUUAGCUACUGGUGGAGGUCAAGAACAGCAGUUCUGUUUUUUGAGUAGUUUAAUUCUCCUCUCAAUGGUCAUAAAACACAUGCAAACCAAUGGAGAUUUGUUAAAAAGAUGGAAACCUCAUUUAGUGAUUAGUUAGCUUGACUCACUAACAGAAGUCUGGAAUAGACAUUUCUGGCCAUCAAUUCUGCUCACUUUUUCUAAUAAGCAGCUCUUGAUCUCUGUUGUAAAAUGACAGCUGGGCAGCCUACGUUUAUCUAGCCGAAGGUUGGGGUGGCUUUUUGUUUGUUCACGUGGGUUCCUGGCAGUCUUAGGGAGAGGUUGUUCCAGAAGCUUGCUGUCAUGAUUAGAAAUGUUUCCCCAUUUCUGGCCUAAACUUACUUGCAACUGCUUUAUGCCCUUGUGUUCUAAAGUCUUUCAGUAAAAAGGAUCUUUCUCCUCCUUCAAGUACACCUCCAUCAUGUAACCAUAGAGAUAAAAGGUAUCUGUUUUAAACCUUUGUUUUCUUAAGCUGAGCAAUUCAAGUACUUCUAACUUCUACUGGCAAAAUAGGCUUUCCAUUUCUGAACGGCAGUGUAUUUAUGUUGUCUAUAGGUCAGGUGAUUUUAAAUGUGAACAGUGUUCCAGUCUUCACUUGUUCCACCUAUUUCUGUUCCUCUAUUGCAGGGGUGUCAAGCUCAUUUUCACUGGGGCCCACAUCAACCUUGUGGUUGCCUUCAAAGGACCGAAUCUAAUUUUAGGACUGUAUGAAUGUAGGAGCAGUUACAUUCAUACAGUCCUAAAAUUAGAUUCGGCCCUUUGAAGGCAACCGAAAGACUGAUGUGGCCUCUGGCGAAAAUGAGCUUGACACCCCUGCUCUAUUAGAUAUGCCUCCUUUAAUAACACCUUCUUCUCAACUACCCCACGUGAAAGGCCUGUGGUCUGCCUGCAUGCUUUGGCCCUCGGUUGUGUUUCUCCCUGUGCUUUAUUCCAGUUCUCGCUGUGUUCGUGAUCACUUUCAGCUUGGUGUCACAGAAGAUGGAGUACACUACUUGUAGGCGGUAAUCGUUAAUUGGAAAAAAAUAAAUAGGAUUGGUUCUGAGACCAAAGGCACUGGCCUUUGCUUCAGUGUCCUGACUUUAGUGGCUCCCUACUUUCUUUUUGUUCAUCAGUUAAUGGAACUGUAAUUCACACUUCUGAGCAAGAUUUGUGCAAGAAUGUACUUUUAGGUUUACUUGGAGUCCUUGUUGAGCUAGUUACAAACAAGUGCUGUCCAAAGGAAGUUUGUGGGUAGGAAGCUGUAGUUAUUUUUUGUAAAAAAUCGUAGAUAAAUGCUAAUUAUAAAAUGAGCUCAGAAACUUGAGAAAGAACAGACAGACCUGCUUUUAGCACUCCAGGUGGAUUCAUUGCUAAUUCUGUGUUUUAAUUGAUGGCACAAGUGUUAUUGAGUAGGAAAUUACUCAUGGCAGGGCUUUGGUUACAGUGCCUAAUCAGAAAGCCCCACACAUUUGAUGUAACACGCUACUUCUUUGCUGAUGCCAAUGUCCUUUAAGACAUGAUUCCUGUUCCGUUUCUGGGGGAGUGUGGCAGCUAAGAAUUGGCCCUUUUGGUUUUGUUAGAGUCAGUCUUUUACUAGCAAAUAAUUAUGCAACAGAUUUAAGAACACCAUUUUCUAGAAACUGCUUGUAUGCCAUCUGUUGUCCUGCGGUUCAGCACGUACUUCUUCAGGCACUGGCCUAAUGGAACUGCAUACACAUUGGUUAGGCCGGCAUUUAGUGAUCUGCUUUGCAGAAUUGUGACUGUUCCCCUUCACAGACUAGCCUGUGUACGUGACAGGUGAGAGAGAAGGAGGGAGAGCUUAACCUGCUUUUGGCUUUUCAGCCCUGAAAUAACAAAAUGUAGGAACAACCUCUGAGGUUAUGAGUGAUGUUAUAUUCUUUAAGGAGAAAUUCUGUUCAAAUGUGAUACUUUAUUAUUAAUCAUGUUUAGAGCACCAUCAUCCCACCAGUGUUACAGCUGUCACUUUGCAACUCAGAAGGACCCUGCUGUCUUAUUUCUUGAAGGGAAUGCUGUUGAUGGAAAAGAAAAAAAAUCUCCCUAGAGAGGUUUUCCUCUUUGAAUCUGUAAAGCUUGUUUAAAAGCUUGUCUAAAGGCUUGUCUGUCUCAAGGAGUGCUGUGGUCCUUCAGAAACCAGGGGUAUACAUCAUGGGGAUUUUUAGUUCUGGUUUAAAGUAGGUACUGCAGGGGGUCGUGUAGCUCUUCUUGCAAAGAAACCUGUAAUGCAGAUGAGCUAUAGCAGGUUACUUUAAGUGAAGAGGAUUAGAGAGCGGGAAAGAGCUGCUUUUGCUCUUUGGUUUGUUCUUUUUUCUGUGUGUGUCAGCAUUCUGUGAAUACAAACCUUCUUUAUAUGCAGUUAAUUCCUUCCCCCGUGUUUGUUUGGAUCUUUCACAAAGCAUCACAGAAGAAAGAGGAAGGCAUUUGAAAGCAGGAAUAUGGUUACAAAGUCACAAGAAUAGGCAGAGAUAAAAACCUGGAAUGUGUGGGGUUUUUCUGAGGGGAGGGGGUGUUGUUCUUUUUUAGUUUUAUCUUCUGAAGCAGAUUAGUUAAGAAUAUUCUUAAUAACUUCUGCCUGGCAUACUUAGUUCCAUUCAUUGAUUAAAAAAAAAAAAACAAAGAAGGAAAAAGAAA